AAAUGAAUAGACGGGGGCCCGCACAAGCGGUGGAGUAUGUGGUUUAAUUCGAAGCAACGCGAAGAACCUUACCUGGCCUUGACAUGUCGGAAAUUCGAACGAAAGUUCUUAGUGCCCGCAAGGGAAUCCGAACACAGGUGCUGCAUGGCUGUCGUCAGCUCGUGUCGUGAGAUGUUAGGUUAAGUCCUGCAACGAGCGCAACCCUUGUCAUCUGUUGCUACCAUUAAGUUGGGCACUCUGAUGAGACUGCCAGUGUUAAGCUGGAGGAAGGUGGGGAUGACGUCAAGUCCUCAUGGCCCUUACGGCCAGGGCUACACACGUACUACAAUGGCUGGUACAAAGUGCUGCGAACCCGCGAGGGGGAGCCAACCACAAAAAACCAGCCCCAGUUCAGAUUGCAGUCUGCAACUCGACUGCAUGAAGGCGGAAUCGCUAGUAAUCGUAGAUCAGAACGCUACGGUGAAUACGUUCCCGGGCCUUGUACACACCGCCCGU
rnacentral:rRNA from 1 species